AUUGAACGCUGGCGGCGUGCCUAAUACAUGCAAGUCGAGCGAAUGGAUUAAGAGCUUGCUCUUAUGAAGUUAGCGGCGGACGGGUGAGUAACACGUGGGUAACCUGCCCAUAAGACUGGGAUAACUCCGGGAAACCGGGGCUAAUACCGGAUAACAUUUUGAACCGCAUGGUUCGAAAUUGAAAGGCGGCUUCGGCUGUCACUUAUGGAUGGACGCGCGUCGCAUUAGCUAGUUGGUGAGGUAACGGCUCACCGAGGCAACGAUGCGUAGCCGACCUGAGAGGGUGAUCGGCCACACUGGGACUGAGACACGGCCCAGACGCCUACGGGAGGCAGCAGUAGGGAAUCUUCCGCAAUGGACGAAAGUCUGACGGAGCAACGCCGCGUGAGUGAUGAAGGCUUUCGGGUCGUAACACUCUGUUGUUAGGGAGGAACAAGCGCUAGUUGAAUAAGCUGGCACCUUGACGGUACCUAACCAGAAAGCCACGGCUAACUACGUGCCAGCCGCCGCGGUAA
rnacentral:rRNA from 1 species